rnacentral:rRNA from 1 species
UACGGAGGGUGCGAGCGUUGUCCGGAAUCACUGGGCGUAAAGGGCGCGUAGGCGGCGCGGGAAGUCAACGGUGAAAGCUUGGGGCUCAACUCCGAGUCGGCCGUCGAUACUCCCGUGCUCGAGCACUGUAGAGGCAGAUGGAAUUCCCGGUGUAGCGGUGAAAUGCGCAGAUAUCGGGAAGAACACCCGUGGCGAAGGCGGCUCUCUGGGACGGUACUGACGCUGAGACGCGAAAGCGUGGGGAGCGAACAGG